CACUAGCCCCGAUAGCAGUGAAAAUCCUUUUACUUUUUCUUUAAAAAGUAAAAGAUUGCAACGUAUAGCGGGAAAUAGC
rnacentral:sRNA from 1 species